rnacentral:rRNA from 1 species
CCUACGGGAGGCAGCAGUGGGGAAUAUUGCACAAUGGGGGAAACCCUGAAGCAGCAACGCCGCGUGGAGGAUGAAGGUUUGCUGAGUGUAAACUCCGUUUGGUAGAGAAGAAAAUGACGGUAUCUAACGAAUAAGCACCGGCGAACUCCGUGCCAGCAGACGCGGGAAUACGGAGGGGGCAAGCGUUACUCGGAAUCACUGGGCGUAAAGAGCGCGUAGGCGGGAUAGCAAGUCAGAUGUGAAAUCCUAUGGCUUCCCCCUAGAACUGCUUUUGAAACUGUUAUUCUAGAGUAUGGGAGAGGUAGGUGGUAUUCUUGGUGUAGUGGUCAACUCCGUAG